rnacentral:rRNA from 1 species
UAAGAAUAUUCCGCAAUGGACGGAAGUCUGACGGAGCGACGCCGCGUGGAUGACGAAGGCCGAAAGGUUGUAAAGUUCUUUUGCUGGGGAAGAAUAGCCGCAGGAGGGAAUGCCUGUGGGAUGACAAGAACCGGCGAAUAAGCCCCGGCCAACUACGUGCCAGCACCCGCGGUAACACGUAGGGGGCGAGCGUUGUUCGGAAUUACUGGGCGUAAAGGGCAUGUAGGCGGCUUGGAGAGCCUGGCGUGAAAGUCUGCAGCUUAACUGCAGGGGUGCGCUGGGAACUGCUGGGCUGGCGUGACGGAGGGCGAGCUGGAAUUCCUUGUGUAGGGGUGAAAUGCGUAGAUAUUAGGAGGAACACCAGUGGCGAACGCGACUUUCUGGACUGUAACUGCCGCUGAGGCACGAAAG